GUUUUGGACUCCACAAUGAUGUUCUUGUUACAGGGCCAUUAAUACUUCGAGAUCGGACGGUUCUCCCUAAAAGACAAGGAAAUUACAGUUAUGACAGUAGGAUGAAUCCUCCUUAUGAUCUGACGGUCAAGAAUCCUUCCAUUGUGUACGUGUUGGAUGGUCAACGGAUCCGCUUAUAGUGCGGUCCGUGAUUCAAAGUUCAAACCCUAAGACCGAGGGAUGGAGUAUCUUUAUGUUCCAACGGUCCAGAAUCAUCAAUGGUUCUCUGAUAUUCAAACUUUUGUUACCGACGUUUGACCGUCCGUUAUUUUCAAGUGAAAGCAAAAAUAAAACAUUCGCAACCGAAUCUCAUUGCUUCGAAAAACUAGAAACCCGAAAUAUGAUAACAUUUUAAUAUUUUGGCUUUCCACUAGGCAUUAAUUUGUAAAGUCAUUUGUUGUCUUU
rnacentral:sRNA from 1 species